GAUGAACGCUGGCGGCGUGCCUAAUACAUGCAAGUCGAGCGAACAGAUGAGGAGCUUGCUCCUCUGACGUUAGCGGCGGACGGGUGAGUAACACGUGGAUAACCUACCUAUAAGACUGGGAUAACUUCGGGAAACCGGAGCUAAUACCGGAUAAUAUAUUGAACCGCAUGGUUCAAUAGUGAAAGACGGUUUUGCUGUCACUUAUAGAUGGAUCCGCGGCGCAUUAGCUAGUUGGUAAGGUAACGGCUUACCAAGGCAACGAUGCGUAGCCGACCUGAGAGGGUGGAUCGGCCACACGGAACCUGAGACACGGUCAGGACUCUUACGGAAGGAGCAGUUAGGGAAUCUUCCGCAUUGGGCGAAAGCUUGCCGGAGCAACGCGGCGUGAGUGAUAAAGUUCUUCGGAUCGUAAAACUCUGUUAUUAGGGAAGAACAAAUGUGUAGGUAACUAUGCACGUCUGAACGGUACCUAAUCAGAAGGCAACGGCUAACUACGU
rnacentral:rRNA from 1 species